rnacentral:rRNA from 1 species
UACGUAGGGUGCGAGCGUUGUCCGGAAUUAUUGGGCGUAAAGAGCUCGUAGGCGGUUUGUCACGUCUGCUGUGAAAUCCCGAGGCUCAACCUCGGGCCUGCAGUGGGUACGGGCAGACUGGAGUGCGGUAGGGGAGAAUGGAAUUCCUGGUGUAGCGGUGGAAUGCGCAGAUAUCAGGAGGAACACCGAUGGCGAAGGCAGUUCUCUGGGCCGUAACUGACGCUGAGACACGAAAGCGUGGGUAGCAAACAGG